AACGCAUCUUGCGCUCCUUGGUAUUCCGAGGAGCAUGCCUGUUUGAGUGUCGUGAACCUCUCGAACCCUAGUCUUUUGUUAGACUUGGGGACGGAUUUGGGCUUUGCGGGUCUGUAAUGGUCCGCUGGUCUUGAAAUGCAUCAGCGGUCUCUAAUGCCAUGUCUUAUGGCGGCGUGAUAGGUAUAUGCUUUGAAACGUCGUGGUUUGACUCGGUGUUACGGUCGCUUCUAAUCGUCUUAGGACAAUAUUCAUGUCAUCUGACCUCAAAUCAGGUAGGACUACCCGCUGAACUUAA
rnacentral:misc_RNA from 1 species